UGUCGAACGGGCCAGCGGAAACGACGAAAAAUUCUGCGGUUGAAAUCGCUCAAAAACAGAAAGCUCUGCAGGCACGUCUUCAACUGCCAUCAUUGUCAACGGAUUCCCGGACAAGUGAUUCGGAACCGUGUGAGCCACUUGCAGAAAUUCAGGAACGGAAGAAUCUUUUUCCAGAAAUAACUAUCCCACUGGCUAAAAGCAGAAACAACAGGAAGGUGGUGAACAUUCUUGAACUGCUAAGUAAGAGCACAAUUGAUCGUGAACCCAAUGCCAAAGGUUUCUGCAGAACCACUGCCAAAGCCCAGUAAAAUUUGCCCAUCGGUUGGAGCCAGUGGUCAGGAAGCCAGUAAACUUUACUGGGAGCAUUCACACUUGCCUUGGUUGAAGGAAAAUUUUUAUUGUUAAGUUUCUCGAGAAUAAUUUCUUUUAUGCGACUUCUAAACGAGGAAUCGUGAUACGGAAAUUCUAGAGAGAGUAAACCUAGAUUGGUGAUUCGAAUGGUAAUGGCGGUUCAAAAUGAAAGCAUUCUUGACUUGGAUCGGGACUAAAAACCGUUGAUGGAAUGCCCAAAGGAAGAACAGACAGCUGAAGGCGGAACAUGCAAAUAUUGCCUAACAACAAUAUUUAAGCUUCCCACCAUCAAUCGAUUCAUAAUGUCACCAGGUGCACCACUAUCACCAUGGCAUCAUCAACAGCAGCAACAGUAGAUCUCUGGCGGAUGGAGAAUGUUCAACAUUCUGGGUCAUCUGGUAGAAUCGAACACGACGAAACAGCGACCAUCAGUAAUGAAAUUUAUUUAAAACUCUGGAUACUCCGUAACAAACGCCGAUGAACGAAGCGAAACCACUGCCAGGAGUGUACAAUAGUCAUCAAACGCAGCAAGAAAUCUACUUCCAACUGAAUCGAGAAGUUGGGCAAUUGACAACAGGAGCCGAAAACCAUUCCAUCGAUACAGCGGGAAUACUACCUUGGCAUUAUUUACUGGAACUGUUUCUAUAGGAUCCGAAACUGUAUUGUAGUUUUGAAAAUUCAGUAGCUUUCUCUGCUCGAAUGCUGCCUUGACUAUUCUGGGCAUUCCGGGUGGGAAUAGUACUCCGAUGAGUCUCAGAAAAGCAAGCUGAAGAAUCACUAUAAAAUUUAUCAAUUUUAGACAAGCUGCUGGAAGAUUUUAGUUAUUCACUAAGGAUCUGAAUUAAUGACGAUAUUUUUUUUCAAUUCAGGUUUUUUUAAUUCUAAAAUUUAUAAUUUAUUGUAUACAUUUUCUGUAAACAAAUUAAAAUUGAAACAAUAGUUCAAUAAACAAUAUUAUCUCUACAUGAA